CAUAUGAGGAGAACUAAUCUGAUAAUAUCAUCACACAGAUAAAAAAUAAGUACUUAUGCCAAAAUUUAAUUUGAAAAACGUCGACGCUGCGCAAAAACAUAUUCCUUUACAAGGCCUUAAUUAUUACAUCACCUUUUGCAUAAUUAAAACCUACUACAUCACUACAAGAUGUACAUCAGAAAAUGAAUAUUCUACAGGAAUGCUGCACGCGUCGAACCCGUC
rnacentral:lncRNA from 1 species